CCCUGCUCCUGCCAACCUAGCAGUUCGAAAGCACGUCAAAGUGCAAGUAGAUAAAUAGGUACCACUCUGGCGGGAAGGUAAACGGUGUUUCCGUGCGCUGCUCUGGUUCGCCAGAAGCGGCUUAGUCAUGCUGGCCACAUGACCUGGAAGCUGUACGCUGGCUCCCUCGGCCAAUAAAGCGAGAUGAGCGCUGCAACCCCAGAGUCGGUCACGACUGGACCUAAUGGUCAGGGGUCCCUUUACCUUUAC
rnacentral:lncRNA from 1 species